UACGUAGGGUGCAAGCGUUAAUCGGAAUUACUGGGCGUAAAGCGUGCGCAGGCGGUUUUGUAAGACAGAUGUGAAAUCCCCGGGCUUAACCUGGGAACUGCAUUUGUGACUGCAAGACUAGAGUGCGGCAGAGGGGGGUAGAAUUCCGCGUGUAGCAGUGAAAUGCGUAGAUAUGCGGAGGAACACCGAUGGCGAAGGCAAUCCCCUGGACCUGUACUGACGCUCAUGCACGAAAGCGUGGGGAGCAAACAGG
rnacentral:rRNA from 1 species